GAGAGCAGCACCGCCCCGGCUCCGCCCAGAGAGUGGAGAGGAGGGAGGGGCGGUCUGGGCGCGACGCACCACCCGGCUGGGAGCCGCGCCCCGGGCCGCGUGGAGGGGGCGGGAAAAGCCCGCACGCCCCGCCCAGUGCCCCGUGCCCCGCAACUGCUGAGCCUGCUUCGCCUGCGUGUACGCCUGAGGAAGGGUUGCUGCUGAGACGCCAGGCGUGGGUGACUUAAAGACUCGGCGGUACUGCUGUUACUACCGUAGCCACAAGAAUCUACUUACAGGCCCCCAGUCCUGGAUGAACUUCACCAUCCACCUCCCCUGUGUCGAUGCCUGAGCAACUGAGUAUUGUUACAAAAGUCAAAAAACCAAUUCACAUGGUCCUCAGUUGUAUAUUUUGUUGGAUUUCAAGGAGGAAGAGGUGAAAAGUUCUAUACUGACCUCUCACAGGUAUCUCCAAAGUGUCUCAGUGGGAGCAAGAAAAAUGGCCACAGCAAGGUUGGCUGAAGGGUUGGAGAGACUGAACACUGUCAGGCUUAAGGGCUGUCAAACAGUGUACUUGGAACAAAGUGCAAAGUGAGUGAGGAGACUUCUCUACCGAACCCUACUUAACUGGUGCCUGUAAAUACUUGGACUAAAACGGACACAUUCUAAGGCAUGAAGAAACUUUAGCUACUAUUAGUUUGUAGGUACAUAAGAGAUUCAGCUCACAGGUCAAGAAAGUGUUUCACCAUAUGAUGUCUUUUGUAUGGUAAGCUAUUUAAAGUAUAGAAUACAAGCAAUACAAUUAUAAGGAAAA